rnacentral:rRNA from 1 species
UACGUAGGGGCUAGCGUUAUCCGGAAUUACUGGGCGUAAAGGGUGCGUAGGUGGUUUCUUAAGUCAGAGGUGAAAGGCUACGGCUCAACCGUAGUAAGCCUUUGAAACUGAGAAACUUGAGUGCAGGAGAGGAGAGUAGAAUUCCUAGUGUAGCGGUGAAAUGCGUAGAUAUUAGGAGGAAUACCAGUUGCAAAGGCGGCUCUCUGGACUGUAACUGACACUGAGGCACGAAAGCGUGGGGAGCAAACAGGAUUAGAUACCCUGGUAGUCCCUGA